AUUGAACGCUGGCGGCAGGCCUAACACAUGCAAGUCGAGCGGAGCGGCGGACGGAGGAGUAAUGCCUAGGACUCUGCCUGGUAGAGGGGGAUAACAUCCGGAAACGGGCGCUAAUAACGCAUACUAUAAGAUGAGCCUAGGUUGGAUUAGCUAGUUGGUGGGGUAAAGGCCUACCAGGGCGACGAACCGUACCUGGUCUGAGAGGAUGAUCAGUCACACUGGAACUGAGACACGGUCCAGACUCCUACGGGAGGCAGCAGUGGGGGAUAUUGCACAAUGGGCGAAAGUCUGACGGAGCAACGCCGCGUGAGUGAGGACGGCCUUCGGGUCGUAAAGCUCUGUUAAUCGGGACGCGGUACCGGAAUAGAAAGCCACGGCUAACUACGUGCCAGCCGCCGCGGUAAUUC
rnacentral:rRNA from 1 species